rnacentral:rRNA from 1 species
CUACGGCAGGCUGCAGUGAGGAAUUUUGCGCAAUGGGGGGAACCCUGACGCAGCAACGCCGCGUGAGUGAAGAAGGCCUUUGGGUCGUAAAGCUCUGUCAACUGGGAAGAAAUUAGAGUUGUUUAACAGAUGAUUCUAUUGACGGUACCAGUGGAGGAAGCGCCGGCUAACUCCGUGCCAGCAGCCGCGGUAACACGGGGGGCGCAAGCGUUAUUCGGAAUUAUUGGGCGUAAAGGGCGCGCAGGCGGUCUUGUCGGUCAGGUGUGAAAGCCCGGGGCUCAACCCUGGAAGUGCACUUGAAACAGCAAGACUGGAGUACGGGAGAGGAAAGCGGAAUUCCUGGUGUAGAGGUGAAAUUCGUAGAUAUCAGGAGGAACACCGAUGGCGAAGGCAGCUUUCUGGACCGAUACUGACGCUGAGGCGCGAAGGCGUGGGUAGCGAACGGGAUUAGAUACCCGUGUAGUC